CAAAAAAUCACCAGUUUCCUA
rnacentral:miRNA from 11 species